CAAAGAAGAACACACAUCAUCACCACUUAGGUCAGAGGAGCUAUGGAGAUGCUAGAGAGUUGUGGAGGCAGGAGAAAUUCGGUCCACCUAGUUUUGAUUCUGGAUCGUCAUCUAGUACACCAUCCUCCUUGUCCUCCAGUUUUAACCGGGGUGAUGAUUGGUGGUGCGCGAUGCAUAAGAAAGAUCCUGUUACUAAACAGCGAUUUAUUCCAGCUGAGGAAACAAAGAAAGCAGCUGACAAAUACGUAUGUAUAUCAUUAUAAUUAACUUUUAGUUUGACAUGAAUAUUUUUUUCAUUUAUUAACUACAUUAUUACUGUUAACUUGCUUUUUGGGCAGUUGGAGUACAAGGAGAAGCAAGCCAAGGGUGAGUUCAUUCCGGUUCGUAACAGAGACGCCCUUUUUAUGGCUCUUGGAGAGAAGCCAGAUCAUUCGGGUCGCUGUUAUGGUUUUGGGGGCGUGAAUGUUGGCUAUACCAAGGCUUUUGGGCAUGUACCUCGUACGCACUAUAGGAGAUCGAGUAUGGAACAAGAGGAGGCACUCAUACGGAAAAUGAGUGAAAGGUGGAGGGAGGACAUCGCCACAUAUAUGCAGAAUGUGAUGAUUUCACAGCCCACUCAGUCACCUGCACAUCCACCUACCGGGCCAUAUCCUUCACCAUCUGCUGGGCCAUCUCCUCCACAUGUACAGCCACCUACUCAGUCACCUGGGCUAUAUCAUUUUUUCCCUUCACCAUUUGCUGUGCCAUCUCCUACACAACCCACUCAACCACCUAUUCCGUCAUAUCCUUCACCAUUUGUUGUGCCAUCUCCUACACAGCCGACUCAGCCAUAUGUUCCACCAUCUGCUUCACCAUUUGCUGGGCCAUCUCCUGCGCCAUAUCCUGGGCCAUCUCCUGGGCCAUCUCCUGGGCCAUCUCCUGAGGUAGCUGCUUCACAGCCCACUCAGCUACGUACUCCACUAUCUGGAUUUUCGACACUCAUUCUCCUCAGCUGAAGGACGAGGUUCCAUGUCGAUUGUAUUUGGUAGAUCCAACUAGUGGAGAGACUUGUCUAGUGGCAGAUGCAUAUUCUUAUGCUUUUGAUGAGACCACUACAGUUCAUGGGUCUAGAAUGAUGAAUGAUCACCUGAAAGUGAAAAUUCAUCGAAUUAUAGAGAAAUAUGGUCAUUUGCCACUACCUGUUCCCGUCCCUGCAUAUGAGAUCGACACUACAGCUACUGCUUUGGGUACUUGGGUGCAAUGGCCAAAAAAUUUAGCACAAAUGUUAAGUGAUGAGGUUACACCGACACCUAAAAAACAAAAAGGGAUUUCGGGGGAGGCUGUUAGAUCUUCUAGCCAGCUGCAUUCAGCCGGUUCGGCUUCUCAGUUUAGUCCAGUUAUCUCCCUCACUGAAGACUGUAGGGAGUUAGCAGAUACGCUUGCCCUUGCCGUCGCAGACGAUGAUGCUGUUGCUGUUACCUUGUCGAGAUCCUUGUUCCAUUUGAAAGAUGAUGGCACCGCUAUUCUGACCAAGGAGGAUAUUAGUCAGUUUUUGAGAUGAGAAAUGAUUAAUAUCUCUAUUAUCCAAGUGUACAUGAGGGCUACGCAGUCGGACUUGGAUGGAUUUGGGGAUGCUGCUAUUGGACGUGUUUGUUGGAUGUGUCCGCAAAGCACUGUUACGGAGGUGCAUUCAUCAUCGGAGUACGUAACGCAGUACAUUGCUCAGGCUAUGAUUGGAUGCGUCGAUGUAGAUGCUAGUAUCAUGUUUGCGCCAAUCUUUCAAGACCAACAUUGGAUGCUUCUUUACAUAUGUCCCUUGCUCGGGAUAAUUUAUACCUUCGAUUCUACCAGCUUUCACAAACCGCGAAAGUUAAAGCUUAGAACGCCUAUGAUAGCUGCUUUUAGGAGGUUUCGGAUGAGCGGCCACAAAGUUCGUCGGGAGAAGCUUUUGUGAAAAAAUGUUAAGUACCCGCAACAGCAAGGAGGCACGGAGUGUGGUUAUUUUGUCAUGCGAUACAUUUUUGACGUACUCGCUUCAUAUUUUGGUUCGGGGAUAUGGACAAAGU